UCUAUUCUGCUGGGUAGCUACUACAUGCUGCUAGGUGUCACUGGUGGAUGGUGGGACUCAUAGGGAUUAUCUCGAUGAUCGAUAACCCCCCCUCUUGGGUUGUAUCUACUGGGCAACAAGUGGUAUCAGAGCAGGUGCUCUAAGAUUAAUUAUUGAUCUCACGAUCAAGAGCCAAAGAUCAUGACAACUCAAAUAGAUAGUUUUCUAGGAGAAGGACAAUCAAUUGAUAC
rnacentral:lncRNA from 1 species